GUGAACAAGUCAAUCGAUCGACGUGACUAGUUUCAUUCCAAUUCCUUUCAGUCUCCUAGGUAGCAAAAUUAAUUUUUCAGACUUCCGACUGUUUCCAGAACUCUUCGCAUCCGCAAGCUUGCACGCUUUCCAUAAGUAACAUUUUGUCGAGCGGAAGGAGUGUUGAGCAGGGAAGAAGAAAGGUGUGAAAGGUAUGAAAAAGGUUGGCAGUUUAUCAGUCGGAAAUAUGUUUAGAUGUAUGCAUGAGGCUUCAAUGAUGUGAAACGAUCGAUGCAUUUCAAAACCAAAGGGUAUACAAAAAAAUCAAAACUCAUUGUUUAAAUCAACCAUUACUUGUUGAGAAUAGUUUUAAUUUCAUCUGUUUCCUUUUGAUAUACUAUUUUUUUUUAUUUCAAUAUUCUGUUCAUUGUGAUGCAAAGGGCUACCAAUAUUUUUCCAUGUUUUCCAUGCUCCUUAGCUCCCUUACUUCCUUACUUGGCCUUGUAAACAAAAACUUAUCGAGCUACUUUGAUCCUUCUAAUUCACUGGUAUAUGCUAUUUUCCCUUAGUGUGUAUUUAAAACAUUCUCCUAACAAAAAUAUAGCGAUUCCUUAUUGAAGGCAUCUUUAUGUAAGCUACGCAGUUUGGUAUCUGAUUUAAGGAUACGUAGAACUGCGGUGAGUUUUCCUUGUGAUCUAUUAUAUUACAAUACACAGGUUGUAUAAGUAGCAACUGAGUAUAGGUAUUGUAUUAACUGGGUUAU